rnacentral:rRNA from 1 species
AACGAACGUUGGCGGCGUGGAUUAGGCAUGCAAGUCGAGCGAAUCCCCGCAAGGGGGGAAGCGGCGAAAGGGGCAGUAAGGCAUGGGUAACCUACCCUGGGGACUGGGAUAGCCCUUCGAGAGAAGGGGUAAUACCGGGCGAUGUGCCGGGCCGGCAUCGGUCAGUCACCAAAUGAGUUUCGCCCUGGGAGGGGCCCAUGUGAUAUUAGCUAGUUGGUGAGGUAACGGCUCACCAAGGCGAAGAUGUCUAGCGGGUGUGAGAGCACGACCCGCGCCACUGGCACUGAGACACUGGCCAGACACCUACGGGUGGCUGCAGUCGAGGAUCUUCGGCAAUGGGCGCAAGCCUGACCGAGCGACGCCGCGUGUGCGAUGAAGGCCUUCGGGUUGUAAAGCACCGUCGAGAGGGAGAAAAGCGAAAGCUUGAUCUAUCUCUGGAGGAAGCACGGGCUAAGUUCGUGCCAGCCGCCGCAGUAA